rnacentral:ncRNA from 1 species
GUCGGGAGGGCGGCUAAUACAACACUCGUAAGGGGAAUACGCCCGCCGGCUACACGCGGUUUCGAGCCUCCCGACUUCCCGUC